rnacentral:rRNA from 1 species
GACGAACGCUGGCGGCGUGCCUAAUACAUGCAAGUUGAGCGAUGAAGAUUGGUGCUUGCACCAAUUUGAAGAGCAGCGAACGGGUGAGUAACGCGUGGGGAAUCUGCCUUUGAGCGGGGGACAACAUUUGGAAACGAAUGCUAAUACCGCAUAACAACUUUAAACAUAAGUUUUAAGUUUGAAAGAUGCAAUUGCAUCACUCAAAGAUGAUCCCGCGUUGUAUUAGCUAGUUGGUGAGGUAAAGGCUCACCAAGGCGAUGAUACAUAGCCGACCUGAGAGGGUGAUCGGCCACAUUGGGACUGAGACACGGCCCAAACUCCUACGGGAGGCAGCAGUAGGGAAUCUUCGGCAAUGGACGAAAGUCUGACCGAGCAACGCCGCGUGAGUGAAGAAGGUUUUCGGAUCGUAAAACUCUGUUGGUAGAGAAGAACGUUGGUGAGAGUGGAAAGCGCAUCAAGUGACGGUAACUACCCAGAAAGGGACGGCGAACUACGG